rnacentral:rRNA from 1 species
CCAGGCUGUCUCCACCCGAGACUCAGUGAAAUUGAACUCGCUGUGAAGAUGCAGUGUACCCGCGGCAAGACGGAAAGACCCCGUGAACCUUUACUAUAGCUUGACACUGAACAUUGAGCCUUGAUGUGUAGGAUAGGUGGGAGGCUUUGAAGCGUGGACGCCAGUCUGCGUGGAGCCAACCUUGAAAUACCACCCUUUAAUGUUUGAUGUUCUAACGUUGGCCCCUGACCGGGGUUGCGGACAGUGUCUGGUGGGUAGUUUGACUGGGGCGGUCUCCUCCCAAAGCGUAACGGAGGAGCACGAAGGUUAGCUAAUCCUGGUCGGACAUCAGGAGGUUAGUGCAAUGGCAUAAGCUAGCUUGACUGCGAGCGUGACGGCG